rnacentral:SRP_RNA from 2 species
GCUGGGUGUGGUGGUGCGCACCUGUAAUCCCAGCUACUCAGGAGGCUGAGGCACGAGAAUCGCUUGAACCCGGGAAGCGGAGGUUGCAGUGAGCUGAGAUAGCACCACUGCACUCCAGCCUGGGCUAUAGAGUGAGAUUCUGUCUCAA